UUUGCCAUGAGGAGAGAAUGAAGUCAAUGCCAUCAUGUAUGAACUUUGGAGAAUUAUCCAGCUGGGAGUUAGAAGAACUGAUUGUCUUUCUUAUUCUUCUAUCAAUCAACUAGGUGACCUGAGAGAACUCAAUUCUCCCUUGAGAGAGACCUGCCCUGGCACUAUGGAAUAAGCAUGCUACGUUAACUUUCUAAAGGCCACUGGGGAACAAUUUACUGAACUGCAAACUUAAAGGAGCCUCCCUAUUGGUCAAACCCAGCCGGCAGCCUAGGAAUGUAUCCAUGUAGGUCAACUUCCUGAGGCUAACAGCAGGAUUGGAUUAAACACUGUUAAUGAAGAAACUAA
rnacentral:lncRNA from 10 species